UAUCGAGAGGGUGAUCUGGCUGUGACAUCUGUCACCCCAUUGAUGCCAGUGUUGAUUCAGCUGAUCUGACUGUUAGGUAGGUGUCUACUUCCUCCCUCACAGCUUCAUGUGCAUUCCUCUCAAAGCUGUGUGGUGGUGUCCAAAAGGACGACUACCCCAUAUAGAGGAGGAUCCUCAAGGGUAUAUGAGUAGCUACACUCCCCUGCUAGAACCUCCAAACAAACUCUCAAUGUCCUCCCAGGGAUUUUAGAAGUAAGCUCUAACUUCUUUUAGGAGCUACUCCAGGAAACAGUGGUUUAUUCCUGAGAGG
rnacentral:snRNA from 1 species